rnacentral:rRNA from 1 species
AUUGAACGCUGGCGGCAGGCCUAACACAUGCAAGUCGAGCGGUAGAGAGGUGCUUGCAUCUCUUGAGAGCGGCGGACGGGUGAGUAAUGCCUAGGGAUCUACCUAGUGGUGGGGGAUAACGUUCGGAAACGGACGCUAAUACCGCAUACGUCCUACGGGAGAAAGCGGGGGAUCUUCGGACCUCGCGCCAUUAGAUGAGCCUAGGUCGGAUUAGGUAGUUGGUGAGGUAAAGGCUCACCAAGCCGACGAUCUGUAGCUGGUCUGAGAGGACGACCAGCCACACUGGGACUGAGACACGGCCCAGACUCCUACGGGAGGCAGCAGUGGGGAAUUUUGGACAAUGGGCGCAAGCCUGAUCCAGCAAUGCCGCGUGCAGGAUGAAGGCCUCGG